AACCCUAGUAUAAAAUGCUCUCAUCUCGUCAGGGAAGCCUUCACAUCCUCUUCUAGAACACCCAGACACACGCACACGCACACACAUUGAAAAGGGAGAAGAACAGACAUAGCAACGGAGAGAUGCGAGAAAAUUGGUAGCCGCCGUAGUCCCUUCUCUUCUUCACUUACUCAUUUGUAAUUACACAGAUUUUGCAUCUUCAUGUUUUGGAGCUCCAUUUUUCAGAUCAGUCCCCAUAACUUCAUUAAAAAAUAUUGAAAGAAUCUUGAGCAAGGAAAGCCAAAUUCAGCGUCACCCAAAAUGACCAUCCAAGUUCCAAUUUGAGUCAAGCUCCGACGCUUCUACCUAAAUUACGGCUUCAUUUUGUUCUUUCACAAAACAACAGCUUUAUAUUUUUUCUUUUUCUUUCUCUCGCUAUUAUAAAGAUCCCUUAAAAAUUAACAAAGCUCUGUUCCCAUCAAAAGCUUCCGUAAGUUGAGUGAAUCCAGUGAGUUUGAGGUGUAGGUUGCUUAUGUCUUAGCAGAAACAGAGGAGUCGAGGAGGCUCCGUUGGUCUUGUAAGUUCUAAAAAUUCAUUUGAGGUUAUUUUUAUGGUCCGCGGAUCAAUCUCUUGCUGCUGUUGCAUUUUUCAGUCAGAUUUCUAUUGUUGGGUUCGCUGUAACUGAAUUCUCGUUAAUAGAAAGGAAAGCUUAACGAGUGAGAUCACGUAUCCUUAAGGGUAAACACAUUCAUCUCAGCUCCAAUCCCAUCGGUCGGCCUAUUUGUUGAUCAAAUGCAACCUUCAACCUCGAUUCAAAUCAGAUUGGCAGAUGGCACACGAAUGGUUUUAAGGUUCAACUUCCAACAUAAAGUUAGAGAUAUCCGAGGAUUAACUGAUGCAUCAAGGCCUGGUGGACCAAGGAGCUAUCAUCUGCAGACAAUGGGUUUCCUCCCAAGGAACUUGCUGAUCUCGACCAGACAAUAGAACAAGCUGGCCUAGCCAAUUCAGUUGUGAUCCAGAAACUUGAGUUAUUUCACAUUUUAUGCCAAUUCUAAUGCAGUUACCACCACGAACAGAUAUUGAUCUCUAAAUGUUGAGCCUUGAGGGUGCGUUGAUGUGUUCCUUGAGGCAUCCUAACAUUGGCUUAACCUAUUCCCAAAAGCAAACUCAUUAGGUGAGAAUUAUCCAAAAUUAUAUAAGGAGAUAAUAGGUCAUUCCUCAACCAAUAUGGGACAUUAACCUUACUCUUUGUUCAAGAUUGGACAAUUGGAUAGUGGAUAACAUAAUAUGGGGUCUAAUAUUGAGUAAACCAAGAAUUGCGAUGAGUUUACCCCUUUUACCACUUAAAGAAAAUAAACCUUUAUCCUAACUCCAAAAUCUAGAUCAAGGAUUGUCUCAAAUCGAAUAAGGGGACAACAAUCCAUCUCCUCAACUAACAUAGGCCGCUUAACAUUUGCCUAACAUUGCUUUGCAGCAGAAGCAAUUGAACUGAUCCGCUUAACAUUGCUUUGUAAAAUUGGUGGAUUGCCGUCCUUGAGCAACAGUGUAUAGUGGUUCGCAUCCCUGAGUAGUGAGAAUCAGAGGCCGCCCUGAGAGAAUAGACACUUGCGGAAAAUGUAUGUAUGCCGCCAUUCAUGGCAAAGACGAACAGGCAGCUUAGACAUGUAUGUGUAAUUGUAUAAUUCAUUUCGAUCGCCAUUUAGUUUGCUUUAUUUUUUGUAGGGCAUAGACCUUGCAAGCUUUA